UCAGUGAGAAGAUUGAUACAUUUUUCUAUGGAAGCUGAAGUGCUCAAAUCUGGCUGGGCAACAGUGCACUCCAGCCAGGAAUAAUAGAAUAGAACCCUUUUUUGUUGUUUUUUUUGGAAGCAAGGCCAUGAUUAAGAGCAAUGGCUAAAGGCAUUCAUAUUAUACCACUUGAACUGGAAUUCUUGGACCAGUGCAAGGUGACCUGAAGCAAAGCCAUUCACCAAGAAUAUUUUCAUU
rfam:Acanthisitta chloris contig102604, whole genome shotgun sequence.